CAAACAGCAGUAUCCACGCGCAGCUACAGCUGGUAAGAAGUCAUGUUCGAACCCGGAUCCAUCUUUGAGCAACUUUUUUAGACCCGUGUCUAGGAGACCAGUGUUCUGCACUAUCGAAUCUUGGUCUCCUACUUGAGAUUUGAUGCUUCCAAACAAUGUCCAGCCCACUGGUCGUUGCCUAGUAAUAUCAUCUCCACCAUAUCACCAACAAUAAACAUUUUCGAAACUACCCUCCCUCUCCCCUCUCCCAAUAAAAAAAACACAAAACUUAAAAAUUAGGUAGCUCUAAAACCCUUCUGAUCAUAACAAAAAGUAAGAUCUAAACACACUUGAUGAUUACGUAAGUUGGUUCGUAAUUUUUUACCAAUCUUUGGUAUAAGGAACUGGAGAAAAGAUUCCAAAUAGACUGAGGAAGAAAGACAUGCAGAUUCCGGAGAUUUGAUAGUUUGGUGUCAAGGCCACAAAGCAUCAAGCUUUGUUAACAUGUAGUAGUAGUAGUACCAGAAGAACUUGACCACAGUACGGCCGUAUCCUAUCAUUGAGUAAAGGAUUAUAGUAUGUAAACUCUAGUUUGUAUGGUGUCAUACUAAUAACUUUGUCUAUAUUACCAAUUUUCCCAAUUUCUUAUUUCUAACAAACUAUAAUGUAUAAAUAUCAAUGAAUAUAUUUUGCAAGUUGAAAAUAAGGGAGAAAUUUUUUUUACCAAAAAGAAUAAUAAGGGAGAACUACAGUGAAUGUUUCGAGUGGGCCUAAAGCAAAUGCAUUAUUGCCUUGCGAAAAAAUCAUUAUCGCCACAGACUAGAAAAAACUCCUAUUUUCUUUUUAUUCAAAAUUAGAACCACAAGAUGGCAGUCGUAGACUGAUAAGAUUGACUUGGAGUCUACUCUUUCAUUGCCACUCAUAUCUUUUCUUCCAAAGAACGUCUCUAAGCAAGUUGAAGAGCUGUUACAUGAAAGGAGAAUAGUGAUGGCUGAGGGCGUUGUGUCGUUUGGAGUGGAGAAACUCUGGGAUCUCCUGAGUCGAGAAUCUGAGCGAUUGCAGGGAGUUCAUGAGAAAGUUGAUGAUCUAAAAUGUCAGAUGAGAAUGUUACAGUCGUUGUUGAAAGAUGCAGAUGCGAGGAAACAUGAGAAUGAAGUAGUGAGAAACUUCUUGGAAGAUGUCAAAGACAUUGUUUUUGAUGCUGAAGACAUAAUCGAAUCCUUUCUUUUGAAAGAAUUGAGUGGAAACCAAAAAGGGAUCAAGAGGCGUGUGAAAAGACUUGCUUGUUUCUUAGUGGAUCGCCGAGGUCUUUCUAUGGACAUUGAAGGCAUAAUUAAGAGAAUGUCUAAGGUGGUUGCACAAAUGCAGAGCUUUGGUAUACAGCAUAGCGUCAACAGAUCACCGUCUGUACAAGAGAGGCAAAGGGAGAUCCGACAAACAUAUCCUAAGAGGUCUCAAAAGGAUCUCGUGGGGGUGGAACAGAGUGUUAAGGAACUAGUUGGUCAUUUGGUGGAGAAUGAUAGCAUCCAAGUAGUUUCCAUAUCUGGGAUGGGUGGUAUUGGAAAAACCACUCUUGCAAGACAAGUCUUUCAUCAUGACAUUGUUCGAAGUCAUUUUGAUGGAUACGCGUGGAUCUGCGUUUCGCAAGAUUUUAAGCGGAAGGAUAUUUGGCAAAAGUUAUUGCAAGACCUUAGACCACAUGAUAAGGGCAUCGAACAUAUGAAUGAGAAUACACUCCAGGCUGAGCUCUUUCACUUGUUGGAGACGUCUAAAUAUUUAAUUGUCAUGGAUGAUGUAUGGAAAAAAGAAGAUUGGGAUGCAAUAAAAGACGUUUUCCCCCAAGAAAGAAGAGGUUGGAAGAUGAUUCUUACUUCACGCGAUGAAGGUGUUGGUUUGCAUGCAGACCCAACAUGUUUUCCUUUUAGACCAAAACCACUUACUCCCGAAGAAAGUUGGAAGCUAUGUGAGAGCAUAGCAUUCCCUAGAAAAGAGAUAACGGUUGUAAGAUGGGGAAGAGAUGAGAAAGCGGUUAUAGGCGUUUCAGACAAAAAAAAGAAACAAGAGCUAAAGAAGGAGAAUCACGAUAAAUUACAAAGAGAUUUACGGCAAAGAUCAAAUUGAUGUGCUCUCCUCUGAACUCUGAUGGUAUCAUGAGUGUGGAUCACUGGAUCAACAUGGGUUUGCAAGGGACAAAAUCUGGGUAAUCGAUGACAAUCUAUCUCCUAUUUACUCAAAAGAGUUCUUAAGAAAAGCUUAGUUGAUCUUCAUCUCAAACCAUCAGAAGAGGACUUAAAGCAAUGGUCUGACAGGUUCACUUGCUAUAGAUGGCGACUCAACAUUGAUUUCUUUAGAAACAUCAAUGGCAAGCCCUUCAGAUUCUUAUUUGCAUAUCAUACUUACCUCGCUGUCUCAGAUAUAAGGAUCAGAAACAUUUGACUACUUGGAGAACCUCAGCAAAAAUGAGCUUUUGACUCUACUAGAGUAGAAACAUACUUCCCUGAGAACAAGUAUCGUUCGUUAACUGCCCAAAGUGGAACUUUGAAAACACAUUAAGUGAAUAGAACGUGUGAUGAUGAACUCAAUAUUCAGAACGUCUUUGUAGAACAUGAUGUCGUUUGUAAGUCCAAGAGGAAUGAGUAUGCCAAACUAUCUCCUAACGUUUGCAAGGUAUUGUUUUACCUUGUCUGAUUUGUUUUCAUCAUUCUGUAAUUUUCAUGUGUUUGUUCGCUACAUGCUCGCAAGAGACUCAGCUUGAUCUUUGAAAAGUGCUCUGCUUUUUUCAAUUUUAGUUAGAGACCAAGGUUUCAAUUUUUGUUGCUGUUUGUUUGUGUCUCAGACUGUUUCGGUCAGGUUGAUAAAGGGGCUAAUAUUCUUGAAAUUUAUCGCAAUCAUUGUGAUACUGAUCACACUUGCUCGCAUGACGCUGCUACUUGCUCUUUUUGGUUCUUUGCGGGAGAAAUUGAAAGACUUGCGUUUAGCAUCUGAUCUCUCUUCUUUGUGUGUGUUUCUGCAAGUAAAAAUGGUUAAGGGCUUUGAAUGUACUUUUCAUUCUGAUGGGUUAUUUGGGAUUUAAAGUUUUUGACAUUCUCAGAGUUUCCAUAAAUUUGCAGCAUUGAACGUCAUUUUCCCUUUAUGAGUCCGUGCAAUAAGCUUGAAGACAGAGGUGGAAAGUCGGGGAGGUGGAUGGGACGAGCUUGCUGUGAUGGAUGGGGCGGAGAGGCGUCGGAUCUGAAGAAGCUGUGUAGUGGAGAUGGCAGAGGAAGCUAGCGGUGGUAGUGGUGGCGGCACAAAAAGAGAGAGCACUGGAAGAAUGGAGAUGAAUUUUAGGUUUAGUUAAAAAUUUGGUUUAGUUUGGUUUAGUUUAAUAUCGCAUUCAUAAAUAUGUAAACAAUUUCAAUAUAUAAAAUUUAAUUUAAUUUAUAUUUUUCAUAA